GUGCUUGCUUCAGCAGUAUAUAUACUAAAAUUGGAACAAUACAGAGAAUGUUAGCAUGGCUCCUGCACAAAAAAAAAAAAAGAAAGAAAAAGAAAAGAAAAUU